UGGUGGAGUGAUUUGUCUGGUUAAUUCCGUUAACGAACGAGACCUCGACCUGCUAAAUAGUACAACGUAUCCUCGGAUAUGGAUGUAACUUCUUAGAGGGACUGCGGGUGGUUAGCCCGCGGAAGUUCGAGGCAAUAACA
rnacentral:rRNA from 1 species